rnacentral:rRNA from 1 species
UAUUAAAUAUAAGAUUAGUAAAAAAAGGAUAAAAGAUUAGUAAAAAAAGGAUAAAAGAUUAGUAAAAAAAGGAUAAAAGAUUAGUAAAAAAAGUACAGAAAUGGAAUAAUAAAAAUAAAAAAAAGAAUAAAUUAUACCUUUUGUAUAAGGGUUUAUUGAAAAAAUAAAAAUAUUUUAAUUUCUCGAAUUUUGUGGAGUUUUUUAGUAUUAAUUUUUAUUGUAGAAAUAUUAAAGAGAAGUAUUAAAAAGAAAUGAAAAUUUUAUCAACAUAAUAAUAUCUAGUUAUAAAAAAAAAAAUUAUAUAUUAUUUAUAUAUUGUAUAUCAAUUACAUGAUAAUAUAUAAUUAUAUAUAAAGGGAUAAGCUUUUAUAUAUAAUUAUAAAAAAAUAAAAAUUUUAAAAAAGGCUUUUUAUUAGCUAAAAUUUUAAUAAAUUAUUAUAUUAAUUUUUUUAAUUUUUUAAUUUUUUUUUUAUUUUUAUAAAUAAAUUUAAAAAAAAAUUAUGAUAAAAUUAGUAUAAUGAUUAAAAUUUUUUUUAUGAAUUCGGCAAAAGAAAAUUUCAACUGUUUAACAAAAACAUUGUUUUUAGAAAAUUAUUAAAAAUAAUACUGCUCAAUGAUAUAUUAAAUUGCUGUUUUUCACAAAGGUAUUGAAAUAAGGCUUUAAAUGGGUGCUAAGAGAAUGGGAUAAUGAGGUUUAGCUUUAUAAAAAAAAAAAAUAAAAUUUUAUUUUAUAUUGAAAAAGAUGUAAUAAAUAAGUGGGACAAGAAGACCCUAUAAAUUUUUAUAUUUUUUUAUAAUAUUUACAUUAUAAAAAAAUAUUUGGUUGGGGCGACAGAAAAAGAAAAAGUAUCUUUAUUUUGAUCCGAUAUAAAUUUUGAUUAAAGGAAUAAAAUACUUUAGGGAUAACAGCGUUAUUAUUUUGGAUAGUUCAUAUAGAUAAAAUAGUUUGCGACCUCGAUGUUGAAUUAACGGACCUAAAAGAUGUAGGAGUUUUUUAAGGUAGAUUGCUCAUCUAUUAAAUCGUUACAUGAUUUGAGUUCAGACCGGCGUAAGUCAGGUUGGUUUCUAUCUACUGAAGAUUAAUAUUUUUUUUAGUACGAAAGGAAUAAGAAAAGUUAAAAUUUAAUA